rnacentral:rRNA from 1 species
CGAUGAUACGCGAAGAACCUUACCAGGUCUUGACAUCCCCCGCGAUGCUUUUAGAGAUAAAGCGGAGGUAUUCGGGGAGACAGGUGGUGCAUGGUUGUCGUCAGCUCGUGUCGUGAGAUGUUGGGUUAAGUCCCGUAACGAGCGCAACCCUUGUCCUUAGUUUACCAGCACGUUAUGUGGGCACUCUAAGGAGACUGCCGGUGACAAACCGGAGGAAGGUGGGGAUGACGUCAAGUCAUCAUGGCCCUUACGGCCUGGGCUACACACGUGCUACAAUGGUCGGUACAAAGGGUUGCCAAGCCGCGAGGUGGAGCUAAUCCCAUAAAACCGAUCGUAGUCCGGAUCGCAGUCUGCAACUCGACUGCGUGAAGUCGGAAUCGCUAGUAAUCGUGAAUCAGAAUGUCACGGUGAAUACGUUCCCGGGCCUU